GACGAACGCUGGCGGCGUGCUUAACACAUGCAAGUCGAACGGAAAGGCCCUGCUUUUGUGGGGUGCUCGAGUGGCGAACGGGUGAGUAACACGUGAGUAACCUGCCCUUGACUUUGGGAUAACUUCAGGAAACUGGGGCUAAUACCGGAUAGGAGCUCCUGCUGCAUGGUGGGGGUUGGAAAGUUUCGGCGGUUGGGGAUGGACUCGCGGCUUAUCAGCUUGUUGGUGGGGUAGUGGCUUACCAAGGCUUUGACGGGUCGCCGGCCUGAGAGGGUGACCGGCCACAAUGGGACUGAGAUACGGACCAGACUCCUACGGGAGGCAGCAGUGGGGAAUAUGGCACAAUGGGCGGAAGCCUGAUGCAGCAACGCCGCGUGCGGGAUGACGGCCUUCGGGUUGUAAACCGCUUUCGCCUGUGACGAAGCGGGAGUGACGGUAAUGGGUAAAGAAGCACCGGCUAACUACGUG
rnacentral:rRNA from 1 species